CCUACGGGUGGCUGCAGUGAGGAAUAUUGGUCAAUGGGCGAGAGCCUGAACCAGCCAAGCCGCGUGAAGGAUGAAGGAUCUAUGGUUUGUAAACUUCUUUUAUAUGGGAAUAAAGUGCGGUACGUGUCCCUGUUUGCAUGUAUCAUAAGAAUAAGCAUCGGCUAACUCCGUGCCAGCCGCCGCGGUAAUACGGAGGAUGCGAGCGUUAUCCGGAUUUAUUGGGUUUAAAGGGUGGGUAGGGGGUUCAUUAAGUCAGCGGUGAAAGUUUGGGGCUCAACCCUAUAAUUGCAGUUGAAACUGGUAGACUUGAGUACAUGAGAGGUAGGCGGAAUGCGUGGUGUAGCGGUGAAAUGCAUAGAUAUCACGAAGAACUCCGAUUGCGAAGGCAGCUUACUGGACUAAAACUGACGCUGAGGCACGAAAGCGUGGGGAUCAAACAGGAUUAGAUACCCGAGUAGUC
rnacentral:rRNA from 1 species